rnacentral:tRNA from 6 species
GGAGAGGUGGUCGAGUGGUUUAUGGCUCCGGUCUUGAAAACCGGCAUAGUGAAAACUAUCGAGGGUUCGAAUCCCUCUCUCUCCU